CAUUGCUUAUACUACAUCUUUCACGUUUCACUCUUUCCCUCAAUUUUUUCAACUUUCCCUCCCAGACUUUUACUGUUUCUUCUCUUUGAAUUUCAAGUUCUUCUUCUUCUCGACAAUCAGAACACAACACCUAAAUAAAAUGUGUAGAUGUUUUUCUACUCCGCACAACGAAUGCGUCAACUUCCUCCUUUACCCCUCACUGCGCUCAAACGCCGCCAGGAUUCCGGCGAGGCUUGUCCACCAUCAACGUUGACAGAACCGCCAUGCAUUAGUUGUUGGCCAUUCCUCCACCGCACGCCACCUCCUUGUGCGCCUCACCUAGGGUUCGAACUACAAUGUGCUUGCCCUUGCUCGGAUUCAUUCUCGUGCUUCUCCACUCUUCGUUGCUAGAUUUCGCUCUUCGCCACUACUCGGCUCUCGCAUCAAAUUAGGAAUUGCAGUGAAGUUGGUACUUGAACUUAACCUAUCUUCGAUAAUUUGAAAAAUCACAUGUGUUUCAUUUUGGUUCCUAUAGAAGAUAUGUAUUUGGUUUGCUCUAUUUCCCUUCAUUUAGCCUGUGCGAAGGUUUUCUAGUACUGUGUUUGUAUUUGAUUGAGGCAGUGUAAUUGUUCUGUUCUAGUAGAUUCUUGAACAAAUUGAUAUAUUAUCUGCUUGUAAUGGCUGAAGGGAAUAUAUCGAAGUGCAAAAGGUGGCUCAAUGACUAGGAGAGCCAUUUUAAAUCAGCUAAGAGAUGAGAGGGGAUCGUGUGUGGUGGUCUGCAAGUCGUUUGGUUGUGAUUUCCUAGGUGAGGCAGUAAUAGGGGGAGAAAAACAGCAGAAGAAGAACGAAGUAGUGGAUGGAAAGAUUCGCAAGGCAGGCAUUGGGUGAUAUUGAGAAUUUGGCCAAUGUAAGAGGAGUUGUUAAAGUCAAGCCUCAUGGUCCCAUCACUAGGUAUGAUCGAGUCAUCUGUAUUUAUCAGAAGUAAUAAAUGAGAUGCACUUCUGAAGUAAUCAAUCAACGAUGUACCUGCAGCGGUGAGAUGGAGUACAUAAGAGCUCAAUGCCAGUCAAGGGAUGGAAAAUUGCUUGCAAUUGGUCACUCAAUGGGUGGUAUCUUGUUGUAUGCAAGGCUUUCACGUUCCUCAACAGACUGCUGUUGGAAACAGAUUAAAGAACCUGUGAUGAAACUUUAUACUGAAACAACUGAUGGAUCCACCAUUAAAGACAAGGAGACUACACUUGUUUAGUGCAUUAUGAAACAACUCUGGUUAAGGUGCACUUGAAUCUCAAAGAAAUGGUCAUUGAAAAGUUAUUAUUACAUGGUGAUGAAGGGUGCAAAUAUGACUACAUGCAGUUUGAUCAAGAAUCCAUGUGGAACAAUUGCAGGCAGAUUUGAUUGCUCCCAAUUGAAGACUUACUUGAAACCUGCUGAAUCAACACACAUGCAACUUGUUGUUACCAAGUUAAAGAGAAAGAAACACUUUAA